AAUUCAAAGACUAUUAACAUUUAAAAGAUUUAUUUUAUCACAAAAUAACCAAACCAAAUGUUUUAACAAAUACAUUACACUUUUUAAAAUUUCAAGGCUUGCUGUUACUUGGCAUUACAAAACAAAUUUAUUGUAAGUCUUUGCAGUAACAUUUCUUAAACAACACUCAUUCAAUAUAUAACCUUUAUAAAGCAUAUUUAUUUUAUUUCACAAUAUAUGUUUGCUAAAAAAAUGUUUUUCUUAACUUAUUCAUUCGGUUUGUCUUUUUGCAUGGAUAGAUUUGUUAAUAUUUUUAGUUUAUGUUAGCUUUUGUUGCUCUUUAUGUUGGCUUUUAUAAUGUUAUAUACACUGUCAGUUUUACUUUUAGUUCAUAUUAUUGUUAAGACGAGUUUUUAUUAUAUUUUAAAGGGGCAUAUCAGCAUUUAACAAACACAAAUCCUCAAUUUUGAGCAAUACAGUACUUGUACACUUGUAAUAUCAUACCUCGACUGUCUUACCAGGUUAAUCUGUUCAUAUGCCUCUUUAACUUUGCCUGUUUUAUAAACUUUACAGUACAUGUUUGUUAUCACAAACUUAGUUUUUACACAAAUACAUUUGUUACAGGUUUUUAUAUGUAUACUGUUGUUGAAUUAUGUUUUUGCUCCCGGUAGGGUGGCAUAUAGCAGUUGAACUGUCAGUCUGUCCGAAAACUUUAACAUUGGUCAUAACUUUUGCAAUAUUGAAAAUAGCAAAUUAAUAUUUGGCAUGCAUGUUUAUUUCAUGAAGCUGCACAUUUUUAGUGGUGAAAGUUCAAGGUCAACGUCAUCCUUCAACUCAAGGUCAAAAGGUCAACAACAAAAAUCAAGGAAAGUAAUAAGCUUUAAAAGGCAGAUAAUUUCUAAACCUGCCAAAUAAUACAUUGCAAUUUUAUUUCAAAGCAGGGCAAUAGGGGGCAUUGUAUUUCUGACGAACAAAUCUCUUUUUUUUUAAUCUUGUGUUAAAAAAACAUGGUUUCCGCUAAACUUCUUUUUAUUCUCUUUGUGUUUUUACAUGGGCAUUUUUUUUAAUUGUUUGUUAGUUUUUUUUUAUGUUAAGUUUAUGAUAUUGCUUAUAAUAUUAAAAAGGCAAUAUUCGUUUUUACAUGUAGUUUGUGUUUGUUUUUGUUACUCUUUUACUUCAUAUUUGCAUUUAUAAUGUUAUAUACACUGUUAGUUUUACUUUUAGUUCAUGUCAUUGUUAAGAUGAGUUUUUUUGUAAAAUAUUGAAGGGGCAUAUCAGCAUUUAACAUACACAAAUCCUAAAUUAUGAGCAAUACAGUACUUGUACACUUGUACUAUCAAACCUCGACUGUCUUACCAGGUUAAUCUGUUCAUAUGCCCCUUUAACUUUGCCUGUUUUAUAAACUUUACAUUACAUGUUUGUUAUCAAAACCUAAGUUUCUACACAAAAAUAUGUGUUACAGGUUUUUAUAACAUGGUUUUUGCAAAAGUUUUUCAUUACCUUUGUGUUCUUGCAUGGCAUUUUUUUUUUACUUGUUUGUUAGUUUUAUUUCAUGUUAAGUUUAUAAUAGUGCCUAUAAUAUUUAAAGGUCAAUAUUAGCAAUUUACAGAUUUCAUUCAUCAAAAAACAUAAAUGUUAAACAAUACAUUUACAUUUUUAAUUUCAGUUGAUUAUGUACUUUAAGUUUUUAUAUUAUGUUACGUUUUGAAAGAUGCUUCAAACAUGUUAGUCUUUGAAAUCAUUUUCCUUCCAAAGAUGUUGAUUUACUAUUAAAAUCAUAUUUCAUUUCUUAGUAUGUUUGUUAUAAAAAACAUUGUUUAACUUUAACAAUUUCAAAUCGUAUGUUUUUUGCAAUAUUAACAUGAAACUUUAUAGGAUUAUAAUAGUAUUAACCAAAAAAGCAUCGCAUAACAACUAUAGCUCUACUAUGCGUAAUUAAAGUUCUUGGCAAUUUUUUAGUAUAAUACUUGGCUUUGGUCAUCAGAAUUUCUUCACAUUUUAAAGUGACAUUUGCUUUAAACUUAAUACAUCAUUUAAACGAAGUGCGGUGUAAAAGAACCAUACAGUCUUACCAUUACUUACCAUGUUCUUCUGUUUUUUCAUAGCAAUAAAUAAAUGUUGAAGCAUU